rnacentral:tRNA from 1 species
AGCGUGUUAGUUAAAUGGCAUAACUGGGCGUUUCGGCCGCUAGAUUGUAAGUUCAAGUCUUACACACGUUA